rnacentral:lncRNA from 1 species
UAGAUAUUCAGAAUUGAGAGUUCCUCUUGGAGGAUUUUACCUUUGAUGAGUAUGAAGUGCCCCUCCUUGUCUUUUUUGAUUAUUUUGGGUUGGAAGUCAAUUUUGUUAGAUAUUAGGAUGGCUACUCCAGCUUGUUUCUUCACACCAUUUGCUUGGAAAAUUGUUUUCCAGCCUUUCAUUCUGAGGUAGUGUCUAUCUUUUUCUCUGAGAUGAGUUUCCUGUAAGCAGCAAAAUGUUGGGUCUUGUUUGUGUAGCCAGUUUGUAAGUCUAUGUCUUUUUAUUGGGGAGUUGAGUCCAUUGAUAUUAAGAGAUAUUAAGGAAAAGUAAUUGUUGCUUCCUAUUAUUUUUGUUUUUAAAGUUGGCAUUCUGUUCUUGUGGCUGUCUUCUUUUAGGUUUGUUGAGGGAUUACCUUCUUGUUUUUUCUAGGGCAUGGUUUCUGUCCUUGUAUUGGUUUUUUUCUGUUAUUAUCCUUUGAAGGGCUGGAUUCGUGAAGAGAUAAUGGGUGAAUUUGGUCUUGUCGUGGAAUACUUUGGUUUCUCUAUCUAUGGUAAUUGAGAGUUUGGCUGGGUAUAGUAGCCUGAGCUGGAGUUUGUGUUCUCUUAGUGUCUGUAUAACAUCUGUCCAGGCUCUUCUGGCUUUCAUAGUCUCUGGUGAAAAAUCUGGUGUGAUUCUGAUAGGCUUGCCUUUAUAUGUUACUUGACCUUUUUCCCUUCCGGUUUUUGUAUUCUAUCUUUAUUUAGUGCAUUUGUUGUUUUGAUUAUUAUGUGUUGGGAGGAAUUUCUUUUCUGGUCCAGUCUAUUUGGAGUUCUGUAGGCUUCUUGUAUGUUCAUGGGCAUCUCUUUCUUUAGAUUCGGGAAGUUUUCUUCAAUAAUCUUGUUGAAGAUGUUUGCUGGUCCUUUGGGUUGAAAAUCUUCAUUCUCAUCUACUCCUAUUAUCCGUAGGUUUGGUAUUCUCAUUGUGUCCUGGAUUUCCUGGAUGUUUUGAGUUAGGAUCUUUUUGCAUUUUCCAUUUUCUUUGAUUGUUGUGCCGAUGUUCUCUAUGGAAUCUUCUGCACCUGAGAUUCUCUCUUCCAUCUCUUGUAUUUUGUUGCUGAUGCUCGCAUCUAUGGUUCCAGAUUUCUUUCCUAGUGUUUCUAUCUCCAGUGUUGCCUCACUUUGGGUUUUCUUUAUUGUGCCUACUUCCCUUUUUAGGUCUUGGAUGGUUUUAUUCAAUUCCAUCACCUGUUUGUUUGUGUUUGCCUGCAAUUCUUUAAGGGACUUUUGUGUUUCCUCUUUAAUGUCUUCUACCUGUUUGGUUAUGUUCUCCUGCAAUUCUUUAAGGGAUUUUUGUGUUUCAUCUUUAAUGUCUUCUACUUGUUUAGCAGUGUUCUCCUGUAUUUCUUUAAGUGAGUUAUUUAAGUCCUUCUUGAUGUCCUCUACCAUCAUCAUGAGAUAUGCUUUUAAAUCCAGGUCUAGCUUUCCAGGUGUGUUGGGGUGCCCUGGACUGGGUGAAGUGGGAGUGCUGGAUUCUGAUGAUGGUGAGUGGUCCUGGUUUCUGUUAGUAAGAUUCUUACGUUUACCUUUCGCCCUCUGGUAAUCUCUGGAGUUAGUUGUUAUAGUUGUCUCUGUUUAGAGAUUGUUCCUGUGGUGAUUUUGUUACCCUACAUCAGCAGACCAGGGAGACUAGCUCUCUUCCCUGAGUUUCAGUGGUCAGAACAGUCUCUGCAGGCAAGGUCUCCUCUUUCAGGGAGGUGCACAGUUAUCUGGUGUUUGGACCUCCUCCUGGCCGAAGAUGAAGGCCCAAAACAGGAUCUUUCCCAGAAGCUGUGUUUCUUUGGCCUGCAGACUGCCCGCCGCAGAGUCCGGGAACCAAGGUGGCCCCCGCGGGACGUGAGGUAGAAGCCUCUCGGGCCCGGUGGACACCUGUGCUCUUACCAGGAAGGUGCCAGGUUGCCUGGAGCCGAAAAUGGCACCGCUUCAGAGGCUCUGUGGUUCUCGCCCAUUCCAGAAGCUGCUGGCCUCUGUGUUCCACACUCUCACCUGCAGACCACCCGCUGCGGAGUCCGGGAACCAAGGUGGCCCCCGCAGAACGUGAGGCAGAAAGAAGCCUCUCGGGCCGGGCGGACCCCUGUGCUCUCACCAGGAAGGUGGUCGGUUGUUUGGAGCCGGAAAUGGCGCUGCCUCAGAUGCUCUGUGGCUCUCGCCUGUCCCAGGAGCUGCUGGCCUCUGUGUUCCACACUCCCACCUGCAGGCUGCCCGCUGCGGAGUCCUGGAACCAAGGUGGCUCCCGUGGAAGCUGAGGCAGAAGCCUCUCGGGUGGACACCUGUGCUCUGACCAGGAAGGUGGCCGGUUGUCUGGAGUCGAAAAUGGUGCCGCCUCAGAGCCAGGUAUCUCUGACUGGAGCCAGAUUCCUUGAGUCAGGUGGAGCUCUGGGAUGCCUGUUCUAAUGAGAGACACAGGAAACCCACCCUGACCAGAGACAGAUUGUUUACCUCCAAAGAAAUGGGCAUUAACCCAGGAUCCCAGAAGGAAGGUGGAGUUAGGAUGGUUGUGAGAACAAUCAUGAAGGAGGAGCUGGAGGCCUCACAGACAAAAUCUUCCCUAUGGGACUUGUUCCGUACACCCAACCUGCGUAAGCGGAUAUGCCUCCUGUCCCUAGUGAGAUUUGUGGUGUGGACAUCUCUGUAUGGCCUGCUGAUCAACUUCCAGCACCUGAGGACUAAUGUCUUCCUAUUGCAGUGUCUUUUUGGUACAAUCACCAUUCCAGCCAAUUUAGUUGGAAUUUUUUUUUUUUUUUUUUUUUUUGGUGAAUCACUUGGGCCGCAGAAUAUGUCAACUAUGCCUGAUUGGAAUUUCCAUUUUGGCCAUAAUUUUUGUGCCUCAAGAAAUGCAGAUCCUACGUAUGGUUUUGGCAACUUUGGGAGGAGCGUUUUCUUUUGUUUCUGUUGGCUGUACUGCUGUGCAUGCAAAUGAGCUACUUCCCACUAUAAUCAGGUAUAAGUCUCAAGGUUCACUUGAGUGAAUGAGUCAGAAUAAACUUUUUAAUUAAUUAAUUA